rnacentral:tRNA from 1 species
GCCCGGGUGGCGAAACUGGCAGACGCAGAGGGCUUAAACCCCUCGGAUCCCGUAGGGAUCGUGCGGGUUCGAUCCCCGCCCCGGGCA